rnacentral:rRNA from 1 species
AUUGAACGCUGGCGGCAUGCCUUACACAUGCAAGUCGAACGGCAGCACGGGUGCUUGCACCUGGUGGCGAGUGGCGAACGGGUGAGUAAUAUAUCGGAACGUACCUUAUUGUGGGGGAUAACGCAGCGAAAGCUGUGCUAAUACCGCAUAAUCCCUACGGGGGAAAGCGGGGGACCGUAAGGCCUGGCGCAAUUAGAGCGGCCGAUACCUGAUUAGCUAGUUGGUGAGGUAAAGGCUCACCAAGGCAACGAUCAGUAGCUGGUCUGAGAGGACGAUCAGCCACACCGGGACUGAGACACGGCCCAGACUCCUACGGGAGGCAGCAGUGGGGAAUUUUGGACAAUGGGGGCAACCCUGAUCCAGCAAUGCCGCGUGAGUGAAGAGGGCCUUCGGGUUGUAAAGCUCUUUUGUCAGGGAAGAAACAGCAGCUCUAACACAGUUUGCGAAUGACGGUACCUGAAGAAUAAGCACCGGCUAACUACGUGCCAGCAGCCGCAGUAA